rnacentral:rRNA from 1 species
GACGAACCGUGCGAACGUUGUUCGGAAUCACUGGGCUUAAAGGGCGCGUAGGCGGUCCACAAGUCAGGGGUGAAAUCUUUCAGCUUAACUGGAAAACAGCUUUUGAUACUGGUGGACUCGAGCGAGGUAGGGGCAGAUGGAACUCUGGGUGGAGCGGUGAAAUGUGUAGAUAUCCAGAGGAACGCCGGUGGCGAAAGCGAUCUGCUGGACCUCUUCUGACGCUGAGGCGCGAAAGCCAGGGGAGCAAACGGG